rnacentral:rRNA from 1 species
GCAGUCGACGCGAAAGUUUCCUUCGGGAGACGAGUAGAGUGGCGCACGGGUGAGUAACGCGUAAACAAUCUACCCUGGUGUCUGGGAUAACCAGCCGAAAGGCUGACUAAUACCGGUUAUAUACUUUACUGUCGGGUGAAGUAGGAAAGGUGGGGCUCCUUCGGGACCUACCGCAUUGGGAUGAGUUUGCGUACCAUUAGCUAGUUGGUGGGGUAAAGGCUUACCAAGGCAACGAUGGUUAGCGGGUCUGAGAGGAUGAUCCGUCACACUGGCACUGGAACACGGGCCAGACUCCUACGGGAGGCAGCAGUGAGGAAUAUUGCGCAAUGGGGGAAACCCGGACGCAGCGACGCCGCGUGAGUGAGGAAGGCCUUCGGGUCGUAAAGCUCUGUCAGAUGGGAAGAAGUGCUACGUAGUUAAUAUCUGCGUAGUUUGACGGUACCAUCAGAGGAAGCACCGGCUAACUCCGUGCCAGCAGCCGCGGUAAUACGGAGGGUGCGAGCGUUGUUCGGAAUCACUGGGCGUAAAGGGCGCGCAGGCGGUUUUGUAAGUCAGAUGUGAAAGCCCACGGCUUAACCGUGGAAGUGCAUUUGAAACUGCAGGACUUGAGUACCAGAGGG